AUUGAACGCUGGCGGCAUGCCUUACACAUACCAGUCGAACGGCAGCACGGGAGCAAUCCUGGUGGCGAGUGGCGAACGGGUGAGUAAUACAUCGGAACGUGCCCAGUAGUGGGGGAUAACCCGGCGAAAGCCGGACUAAUACCGCAUACGACCUACGGGUGAAAGCGGGGGAUCGCAAGACCUCGCGCUAUCGGAGCGGCCGAUGUCAGAUUAGCUAGUUGGUGGGGUAAAGGCCUACCAAGGCGACGAUCUGUAGCUGGUCUGAGAGGACGACCAGCCACACUGGGACUGAGACACGGCCCAGACUCCUACGGGAGGCAGCAGUGGGGAAUUUUGGACAAUGGGCGCAAGCCUGAUCCAGCCAUGCCGCGUGCGGGAAGAAGGCCUUCGGGUUGUAAACCGCUUUUGUCAGGGAAGAAACGCUCCGGGCUAAUACCACGGAGUAAUGACGGUACCUGAAGAAUAAGCACCGGCUAACUACGUG
rnacentral:rRNA from 1 species